GGUUGAUGGACAGUCACUCUAUUCUUUGCCUUUUUUUUUGUUUUGUUUUGUUUUUUUCUAACGUUUAAGGAAAACGUCCUUGCCGAAAACAGAGUUUAUUCUGUUGGGUGUGUAUAAAGGCAGAUCUGUCAGCUUGGUUUUGAUAAAAGGGAAGGCACGUCCUGCUUUAUAAGGGGAGAGAGAGAAGAGCCUAAAAAAAGACAAAGCUGAAAGCAUUGCUGAAAUAACGUGCCCAUGUGAGAGAGCCCUUGGAGGGAGCUGAGGACAAGAGAGUUGGCUGAGGGCAACCCGCUGGGGAGCUGGAAAGUUGAGACGUGCUUGGACAGGCUGUGUCCACCCAGUUUGGGGAGCCGCCUUGCUGUGGGGACAGAGAAGAUAAAGAAUCAACACGAAAAUAAAUGAUGGGAAAACUUUGAUGGCAGGAAGAAUGCCUCUUCCAUCAACAACCAGCUAUUAAGGUUGGCUUAGCUGCAAUGUGAGACCUCACCCUUCAUGGAAACUUGACUCCUACUGGGAAAAAGUGCUUUUGUCGAUACAACUUGGACCGAUUUUUGGGUGCGAUCUAAUGAUUACCAGUUAGACAUGACACUG
rnacentral:lncRNA from 1 species